rnacentral:sRNA from 1 species
GUCUAAUGCAGAAUAAAAAUUAAAAGUCUGGACAGAAGCGAAUAUUUCACUUUGUGUAUCAAUGGACUAAACCUAUCUUGAGCUGGUACCGGUUUUCUAAGCAACAAUGUUGGUAGGCAGCAGUGGUCCACUGUCUCAGUUUUGCCACAGUCCAGGGUCAGCACCAAGCUACAUGUAUAGGACUCCUACCUAAUUACUAAAAGUAUCGUUAUGAAGAAAAUUUACAAGACUUCUUGAUGACUGGGAAGACAUAUUAAAUCUGAUUGAAUUUACACACUUGAUUGAUUAGCUUUGUCAACACAAUAGCCAAAAUAUAAACUAGUAUACUAUUUUAGCAUUAUUUAACAAGUAUAAGUCAGACAGUUUAGAAUUUUAUGAUCCUAUAGUAAAGGAAAAAUUACAGUGUUUAGAUAUAUUCAAUUCAUCUCAGUUGUUCUUAAUGCAUAUGCAUGUACAUGUAUAAAUACAUGUAUAUGACUUUUUUAAUCAAGUAUACACUAUAUAGCUGAUGUAAUGACAUUGAUAUAAUCAGAAUUGAUAAUAUGUGUAUAGGUAUUCUGUAUUGCUUUAUCUAGGUUGGAUCUUGAAACCAUGUGUAUGGUACACUGUAUCAUAAAGAUGAUUUUUUCAUUCUUUGUUUACAGUUAUUGUCAUAAGGGACAUAUGAACAGAUUUUUUUUCUUUGACUCCUUUUACUUAUAUAUAUAUAUAUAUAGUAGUCUCCUGGGGCCAUAAUACAAACACCUAGUAACAAUAUUGUUUGAAUUAUAUAUACCGUAGAUGGGUUUCUGUGUGCACUGAUUUACUUGUACUCAUCCAUGUACAUGUACAAAUACAAUUGCAUUUUGUAUAUAUGUUUGUGCAUUUGCUGAUAAUUUCAAGCACCAUAAAAUCUGUUGUAAUAAUUCAUUUUGUAAACUGCAGCAUAUUUUGACAGGUGGGGUAUCGUUACAUAAUUAUGUACUAGAAAAAUGUAUACGGUAUAUCCCAUUUCAUUUUCUUGAGCGGAAGGGGGGGGGGGGGGGGUCAGUGCCUAUAUGCACAUAACUAUUCUACGUUAAUAAGUUUGCAUUUUACACUUACCCUACAGACUACCACCCCUCUGUAAUUAUUUUUGUUCAUGAUCGAAUAUUAAUUCAUAUACAUGUACCAAUUGAUUCAAUAAAUGUAAAUGAU